rnacentral:lncRNA from 1 species
AGCCCUUCCCUUCAGUCGUCUCAUCUGCCUCACGAUUAGAGUCAGUUGAGAAGAGUCAUUUGGCCACUCUGAGCAGUUGGUACACCUGUACUGGCAUAUGGACACAUAUGUAUACAAAACUGUUGAUAUAAGCAGGAGGAGUUACUGGAUGUAGCAGCUGACCGGCCAGCCUUCCCGAUACUAUUUGCAUCUCUGAAGCCCCCAAGGACAGAAAAGAGUCUUUUAAUUGGU